CCCAGACUCCUACGGGAGGCAGCAGUGAGGAAUAUUGGUCAAUGGUCGUAAGACUGAACCAGCCAAGUAGCGUGCAGGAUGACGGCCCUAUGGGUUGUAAACUGCUUUUAUGCGGGGAUAAAAUGCGUCACGUGUGAUGUUUUGUAGGUACCGCAUGAAUAAGGACCGGCUAAUUCCGUGCCAGCAGCCGCGGUAAUACGGAAGGUCCGGGCGUUAUCCGGAUUUAUUGGGUUUAAAGGGUGCGCAGGCGGAUUUUUAAGUCAGCGGUCAAAUCGUGGGGCUCAACCCCAUCCAGCCGUUGAAACUGGGGAUCUAGAGUGUGCGAGAGGUAUGCGGAAUGCGUGGUGUAGCGGUGAAAUGCAUAGAUAUCACGCAGAACCCCGAUUGCGAAGGCAGCAUACCGGUGCACAACUGACGCUCAGGCACGAAAGCGUGGGUAUCGAACAGGAUUAGAUACCCGGGUAC
rnacentral:rRNA from 1 species